rnacentral:rRNA from 3 species
GUUGACCUCGAAUCAGGUAGGAAUACCCGCUGAACUUAAGCAUAUC